rnacentral:rRNA from 1 species
AUUGAACGCUGGCGGCAUGCCUUACACAUGCAAGUCGAACGGCAGCGCGGGAGCAAUCCUGGCGGCGAGUGGCGAACGGGUGAGUAAUAUAUCGGAACGUGCCCAGUAGUGGGGGAUAGCCCGGCGAAAGCCGGAUUAAUACCGCAUGAGACCUGAGGGUGAAAGCGGGGGAUCGCAAGACCUCGCGCUAUUGGAGCGGCCGAUAUCAGAUUAGCUAGUUGGUGGGGUAAAGGCCUACCAAGGCAACGAUCUGUAGUUGGUCUGAGAGGACGACCAGCCACACUGGGACUGAGACACGGCCCAGACUCCUACGGGAGGCAGCAGUGGGGAAUUUUGGACAAUGGGCGCAAGCCUGAUCCAGCAAUGCCGCGUGC